UACAACACGAUGAUUGAUAAAAAUAGAAAAGCAAUUAUCUUUCGAAGAUGAAAUGGUGGAUUUUAACAACUUUUCUUAUCCAUGGCAUCAAUAACUUUUAUCUACAGCAAAACAAUUAGCCAGCAUUUCGCUACAUGAGGUAGACGUAUAUUUCAUGAAAUUUUGAGCAAUAAGAGCGAAUAAAAUUUCUUAAUAAUAAGGCGAAAUGGGAACACGCUUCGUUGUGAAUAUUGGUCGGCAAAGAUUAAAUUGAGCUAGUAUUAACCCAACAUGGAAUUCUGCAUUUUUGCCCCAUUUUCGCAUUUAUAUACUAUAAACAACUUCAUAUUAAACUCAAAGUUUAUGUAUUCUAUAACCAAAGCCUAAACACCUCGCCAGUUUAAAGUACUUGCUAAAAACCCCUAAAAUAUUUUAAAAUGCAUAUAACUUUAUAUAUGAAUGAUAAUAAAAAAAUGGCAAAAUACAAAUUUGAAAAUAUGCCCUGGCUACUUUAUUAUUUUACUCUGUCUAACACCAGAUUAUUUUACUCUGACUAACGCCAGAUGAUUUUACUUAUCAGGGGAAGAGUUCCGCCACUCAAUGCAUUAAUCAGACUUUCUGCCCAUGCACACUGUUAACCUUUUAAGUGGAGGUGUGCCUUACCUUAACAUUUUACUCUGUGCGACACCAGAUUAUUUCACUCAUCAGUGGCCGGUUGUUGUACUCAAGUUGUAAAUUUUAGUUUAGUUACUUGAUGAAUGUAUAAACUUGAUCAAUAUUUUCGACUUAUCCACUGUUUAAGCUAAACAGGCUUUAAACAACUGGCCCUAGGGGGAGAGUGCUACUGUAGCUGCCACCCAAUUGGUUAACCCAAUGAGCAGCAAUGCACCUGACUUUAUCCUUAACUUUUCUUCUGGGUAAUUACAAUUUACCUGCCAAGGGGAGAGAUACGCAACUUAAUGGAUUAAACUGUUAACUCAUUAGCAGGCAAUGCGCCCAAAUGCACUCUACUUUAGUGUUACUCUGUCUAACGCCAGACAAUUUUACUCGCCAGUGGUCGAAUACUGGUGGUUAAUGGGUCAA